rnacentral:rRNA from 1 species
UACGUAGGGACCGAGCGUUGUCCGGAUUUAUUGGGCGUAAAGAGCGUGUAGGCGGUCAGGUAGGUCCGUUGUGAAAACUCGAGGCUCAACCUCGAGACGCCGAUGGAAACCAUCUGACUAGAGUCCGGAAGAGGAGAGUGGAAUUCCUGGUGUAGCGGUGAAAUGCGCAGAUAUCAGGAAGAACACCCGUGGCUAAGGCGGCUCUCUAGUACGGUACUGACGCUGAGACGCGAAAGCGUGGGGAGCGAACAGG